rnacentral:rRNA from 1 species
UACGGGGGGGGCAAGCGUUGUCCGGAAUCACUGGGCGUAAAGGGCGCGUAGGCGGCCUGAUAAGUAGGGGGUGAAAUCCUGCGGCUUAACCGCAGGGCUGCCUUCUAAACUGUCAGGCUAGAGCACAGUAGAGGCAGGUGGAAUUCCCGGUGUAGCGGUGGAAUGCGUAGAGAUCGGGAAGAACAUCAGUGGCGAAGGCGGCCUGCUGGGCUGUUGCUGACGCUGAGGCGCGACAGCGUGGGGAGCAAACAGG